rnacentral:rRNA from 1 species
GACGAACGCUGGCGGCGUGCUUAACACAUGCAAGUCGAACGGAAAGGCCCUGCUUUUGUGGGGUGCUCGAGUGGCGAACGGGUGAGUAACACGUGAGUAACCUGCCCUUGACUUUGGGAUAACUUCAGGAAACUGGGGCUAAUACCGGAUAGGAGCUCCUGCUGCAUGGUGGGGGUUGGAAAGUUUCGGCGGUUGGGGAUGGACUCGCGGCUUAUCAGCUUGUUGGUGGGGUAGUGGCUUACCAAGGCUUUGACGGGUAGCCGGCCUGAGAGGGUGACCGGGCACAUUGGGACUGAGAUACGGACCAGACUCCUACGGGAGGCAGCAGUGGGGAAUAUUGCACAAUGGGCGGAAGCCUGAUGCAGCAACGCCGCGUGCGGGAUGACGGCCUUCGGGUUGUAAACCGCUUUCGCCUGUGACGAAGCGUGAGUGACGGUAAUGGGUAAAGAAGCACCGGCUAACUACGUG